rnacentral:tRNA from 1 species
GGGGCCGUAGUCUAGUGGUAGGAUUCAAGGUUCGGGACCUUGCGGCCCGUGUUCGAAUCACGGCGGUCCCA